AAGGCGGAGGGCAUGCUCUUCCCGCAUGCUAUGCGAAGACGCCAAAGAUGGCGGCCGUGUCUUCGGCUCGCUGGCUGAGGGUCCGCCGCGGGCUUUGCCUACCGCUGACGGGUCGGCGGGCAGGUCUCUGCGGACGGGCCCCCAGUAGCAGAUUUUAUUCUGGAAGUGCAGCCAUCCCAGAGGUUGAAGGAGCUGAUGCAACAGGGACUGAAGAAGUGGUCAUUCCAAAAAAGAAAACCUGGGUCAUUUUUGUCUUCCCUGGACUGAGAAUCAGAACCAAGAUAAGAGUAGGAGGAUACAUAUCGUGAAUGAGGCAUUUCUUGAAUGACAUUCCAGUCCAGUGCACUUGACCAACCCACUGUGCCUCUAUCCCUGACAAAGGUACCACAGGGAGGGUAUUGAGGGUGUGUUCAGAUGGACUACAGUCUAGUUGAGUUGUGUGCAUAUUUUAUACUUUAUAUCUUACACCCACUUUACAUGUGUACAUAACUGUUUACACAUGACUAGGGGCUACACGGGAUAUGAUCGAAUGAAGAGUGGUUGUAUUGCAGUAAUCGAGGUGAGUUUUAUUGAAAACAUAGUUUAGCUGUACCUUAAAAUGGGUCAGAUGAUUUUAUUGGCAUCAGAACAACCAGGGAAUUUUGUUUAAAAUACAUAUUCCUGCAGGUAAUUCUUAUAAACCCUGAAGUAUAAGCCCCACAGAUAUAGAAAACAGUAAGGUAGGGUGGGACAUGAUCAUGAUCUGUCUGGUGGUAGUAGGAGACCAUGCAGGCAGGCCUGUGAAAAAUGCUCUAUUAGAAUAGGAGAAAUAAGGUAGUUGAUAGAGAGCAAACUGAGGCCUAUUUAUUUACAGCCCAUGAGGUAAGAAUGGUUUUUACAUUUUUUAUAGUUGAAAGAAGAAGCCUAUUUCAUGACACGUGAAAAUUAUGUGAAAUUCAGAUUUCUGUGUCAGUUAAAUUUUUUUUUGGAACACAGCCUCACUCAUUUGUUAACUUACUAUCUGUGCCUACUUUUAUGCUCCAAAGGCAGAGCUGGGUGGUUGCAACAGUCCUCACGGCCCAUAAAGCCGAAAAUACUUAACUGUCUGUCCCUUUACAGACAAAGCGGUUGAUAGAGGCUCUCUGAUAGAGAGCCUGUGCUUUCCAGGCUCAGGAAUUUGUGCUUUUAGACCUAGAAGAAGCCAUAAAGACUACAAAUUCCUGUUGCCUUAUUUGAGAGAUGAAGCGUCUUUUAAGGCUGUUAAGAUGCUUUUAAGGCAUCUUUCCCAGAUCACAGAUGCCGUAGAAGACUAACAAAUUGUAGAGAGUCACUGUGAGUUUUCAUAUAGGAAUGUGACAGGGUAGAGUAUUCUGAGCACGCUAAUCUGGAUGGUGUAGUUACUGUAGAGA